AACCAAGUGGUCGUGGUCUAGUGGCUUUCACUUGAAGAGGAGUCGCCAUGUUGGUCCAGGCCAGGGAUCGAUUUCCCUCAAGCGCGAAAGUGCUAGUAAUUUCCAUUUGGCCAGGGGCUUUCAUCUGGUCUUCCCCGGACCCUGGGGGGAUUAAGGGCUUCCGCCCCGAACCUCCUGGUUAUCAAAAAAAAAAAAAAAAAAAAAAAAAAAAAAAACAUG
rnacentral:lncRNA from 1 species